rnacentral:rRNA from 1 species
UACAUUCAAAGAGUGCGUAAUAGCUCACUAGUCGAGAGGUCCUGCGCCGAAAAUGUCCGGGGCUGAAACACGACACCGAAGCACAGGAUACCGCAAGGUAUGGUAGAGGAGCAUUGCUGGCGCGAUGAAGCAGUACCGUAAGGAGCUGUGGAGUGCCAGGAAGAGAGAAUGCCGGAAUGAGUAGCGAGAGAGAGGUGGGAAUCCUCUCGGCCGAAUAUCCAAGGUUUCCAGGGUAAAGCUGAUCUGCCCUGGGUAAGUCGGGGCCUAAGGAGAGGCAGAAAUGCGUAUCCGAUGGACAGCAGGUUGAGAUUCCUGCACUAUCUUAAAACAGAACUGUGGGGACAUUUGUGGAGAGCACAGGCGCGGAACGGAAAGCCGCGUGCAAGCGAAGGAGGAGUCACAUAGGAAAAACCGUGUGGCAAUCCAAAGGCGUGAUGCGGACCGAACUAAAGUAGGGAAGUGUGUGAGCCAUGAAUCAAGAAAAGCCGCUAUUGUUUUUAAGAUACCCGUACCGUAAACCGACACAGGUGGAUGAGGAGAGAAUCCUAAGGCCGGCGGAAGAAGCAUUGUUAAGGAACUCGGCAAAAUGACCCCGUAACUUCGGGAGAAGGGGUGCCAACGAGAGUUGGCCGCAGAGAAUAGGCUCAAGCAACUGUUUAGCAAAAACACAGGUCUAUGCAAAACCGAAAGGUGAGGUAUAUGGGCUGACGCCUGCCCGGUGCUGGAAGGUUAAGAGGAGAGGUUAGCGCAAGCGAAGCUUUGAAUUUAAGCCCCAGUAAACGGCGGCCGUAACUAUAACGGUCCUAAGGUAGCGAAAUUCCUUGUCGGGUAAGUUCCGACCCGCACGAAAGGCGUAAUGAUUUGAGCGCUGUCUCGACAAUGCAUCCGGUGAAAUUGAAGUACCAGUGAAGAUGCUGGUUACCCGCGCCAGGACGGAAAGACCCCAUGGAGCUUUACUCCAGUUUGGUACUGGGGUCCGGCAGUGCAUGUACAGGAUAGGUGGGAGGCUGUGAACCUGGAACGCCAGUUUCAGGGGAGCCAUUGUUGGGAUACCACCCUUGUGCUGCUGGGCUUCUAACCAGCGGCCUUUAUCAGGCCGGGGGACAAUGCCAGACGGGGAGUUUGACUGGGGCGGUCGCCUCCGAAAGGGUAUCGGAGGCGCUCAAAGGUUCCCUCAGAAUGGUCGGAAACCAUUCGAAGAGUGCAAAGGCAGAAGGGAGCUUGACUGCGACACCGACGG